CAGUAGCCGCGGUAAUACGUAGGUCCCGAGCGUUGUCCGGAUUUAUUGGGCGUAAAGCGAGCGCAGGCGGUUAGAUAAGUCUGAAGUUAAAGGCUGUGGCUUAACCAUAGUACGCUUUGGAAACUGUUUAACUUGAGUGCAAGAGGGGAGAGUGGAAUUCCAUGUGUAGCGGUGAAAUGCGUAGAUAUAUGGAGGAACACCGGUGGCGAAAGCGGCUCUCUGGCUUGUAACUGACGCUGAGGCUCGAAAGCGUGGGGAGCAAACAGGAUUAGAUACCCGUGUAGUCCCUGUCUCUUAUACA
rnacentral:rRNA from 1 species